rnacentral:misc_RNA from 1 species
UUUCCGUAGGUGAACCUGCGGAAGGAUCAUUAUUGUAUAACCGAGGUGCGAGGGCUGUCGCUGACCCGAAAGGUCGUGCACGCCCGAGUGCCCUCACACACAUCCAUCUCACCCCUAUGUGCACCACCGCGUGGGUCCCCCUUUGGCUUGUUCGGAGGGGGGCUUACGUUUUCACACAAACUUUGUAUGCAGUGUAGAAUGUAUUUUUUGUUUUUGCGAUCACGCAAUCAAUACAACUCUCAACAACGGAUCUCUUGGCUCUCGCAUCGAUGAAGAACGCAGC